GAUGAAGAACGUAGCGAAAUGCGAUAAGUAAUGUGAAUUGCAGAAUUCAGUGAAUCAUCGAAUCUUUGAACGCACAUUGCGCCCCUUGGUAUUCCGAGGGGCAUGCCUGUUCGAGCGUCAUUAUAACCCCUCAAGCUCAGCUUGGUGUUGGGGCCUGCUGCACUGGCAGCCCUUAAAAUCAGUGGCGGCGCCGUCUGGCUCUAAGCGUAGUAAUUCUUCUCGCUAUGGAGUCCUGGUGGGUGCUUGCCAUCAACCCCCAAUUUUUCUAUGGUUGACCUCGGAUCAGGUAGGGAUACCCGCUGAACUUAAGCAUAUCAAUAAGCGGAGGA
rnacentral:misc_RNA from 1 species